UCCCUGGUGGCUUAGAGGGUAAAGUAUCUGCCUGCAAUGUGGGAGACCCAGGUUCAAUCCCUUGGUUGGGAA
rnacentral:tRNA from 1 species